rnacentral:misc_RNA from 1 species
AACGCAUCUUGCGCUCCUUGGUAUUCCGAGGAGCAUGCCUGUUUGAGUGUCAUUCAAUUUAUCUCAACUACAUCAGUCUGGAUGUAGCUUGGAUGUGGGGGGUAUCUGCAGGCUUGAAAUGAAGUCUGCUCCUCUGAAAUACAUUAGUGGUGACUGAGGCUGCUGCUAUAGGUGUGAUAAAUAUCUAUGCCUUAUGCGCAGUUGGAUUGCACUGCUUCUAACAAAUUUUAUCGUUUGACAAAUUUGACCUCAAAUCAGGUAGGACUACCCGCUGAACUUAA